GACAGAGGGUGCAAACGUUGUUCGGAAUUACUGGGCGUAAAGCGCGUGUAGGCUGCUUCAUAAGUCGGGUGUGAAAGCCCUGGGCUCAACCUAGGAAGUGCACUCGAAACUGCGAAGCUUGAGUCCUGGAGAGGAAGGCGGAAUUCUCGGUGUAGAGGUGAAAUUCGUAGAUAUCGAGAGGAACACCGGUGGCGAAGGCGGCCUUCUGGACAGUGACUGACGCUGAGACGCGAAAGCCAGGGGAGCGAACGGG
rnacentral:rRNA from 1 species